ensembl:lncRNA
CUGGGCUUAACGUUUACGCUAAAAGUGAGACGACUAAUUUAGGCCGACAAGGAGAGGGUAAAUCUGCUUAAAUAUCUGUAUUAAUGAAGCCACUCAACCAGUACUAACGUUAUAACUUUUCAAUAAAAACUAAAAGUGUAUCCGUCACUAAGAUAGUGAUCGCUAUGUCAAGUCUUAUUCGUAGCACGAUGGAUACGCCUUGCGUUUUUACAGUCUGAUCUUUAUCUAAGUCACAGCCAAAGACAAUGCACACACAUCAAUUGGACUUUUCCAGUAUUUACUGGAAUACUGAGUAUUGAUUUACAACCACUACUAGGAACUGAGUACUGUAUUCCAAUAAAACAGAUGAGAUGUUUGUAGACAGCCCGGGUGUUCACCAGUUUACAUUAAAAAAAAAAAAGCCUGUAAGUGCGGUGGGGAAAGUCACAUUAUAAGGACAGCAUGAAUACUCAUCUCAAAUCCUUUAAUUUUGAAUGAUGAAAUCUUCAUAAAGUGAGAGAGAUAACCAUAAUAGUCUACUUUGAGCAAGGAGUUGGCAGUAGUAGGAAGGAAGAACGCCCUUUAAAAGGAAGAGCUCUUUUGCAGAACCAGGCUCAGGAAGGCAAUCUUAGAGGCAAACACAACUGGACUUCAUGAGGUUUUUGCAGAUAUUUUGGUUCUUUAGUUCUACAACAACACCUAGUGGGGUCAGUUGCUUUGGAGUUGUUACUGAGAGUCGUUAACCCACUAUUUAUUUAUUUACCGUGUGAUAACAGACAUAGGACAUGCCAGUCGACAGGUGAAACCUCUGUGAGAUGUUACAGAGUAUAGCAUGGUGGAAAAGGAUGGAGAGAAUCGCCCCCUAAGCUUUUGGGUUGGCAUUUCUUUAGAUUUUGUUUUGUAUUAAUUGCAUGCUUUGGUGUUUUUUUGUGUUUGAUGUGAGGUGUGGGCCACACCCAUGUGGGAGUGGAGAUUCUACUCUAGUCCAGCUGCCAGCUAUUUGGAGUUGAAUACAGGGAGCAGCUGAUUGGGGAUGAUUGGAGCCCUUCUCUAUAAAGGGGAGAGGAAACAGAAAGUAGGGGUUGUUGUUGUUUUUUUUUAGUAGGACACUGGUGAAGCAGGAAAACAAACACUGGACUGGAGACUCUCUGUGCCCCUGACAAGGAAACUGGACCAGUUUUGGGGAAGUUCCAGCUCCCAGGAUGUGAUGUGGAGACCCAGCCUCGAACGAAGUCAGGCCUGAAAAGGCUAACAACCCUGACCGCGGUGGCUUUGGGCCUUGGAUUCCUGGCCAGAGUUGUGUCUUCAGCCAGUAGUUUUACCCGGAGAAAGAACAAAUAAAUCUUGUGUAAC